GUUAAUUGGUCUGUUUCAGGCAUAAUUUGGGCCUUUGAGACCAUGUCCCUUACCCCCUGCCAAAGUGUCAAGACUCACAUCUUUAAUUCAACAAUCUUUGUAUUAAUUACCUCUGGAUAAGUACCAGUCCUCAGAAGACCACCAAACUACCCUCUACACAACCUAUAGCAACUGGCUGUGAAGGCAUGUGCAGGAAGAAGAAAAUGAGGAGAAAGUCACACUGGUGGCCAUGGAAAAAUGGAUGAAUACAGAAAUCUGCAUGCUACCAUAUUCAGCCAACCCAAUUGUCAUUGCUCACACUUCCUCACAGUCUUACUGUAAUGGAUGGACCAAGCUUAACCAGAGCAUCAGUUCCUACUUAGAGAGCUGUCUAUAGUCUCUUGAAGACCAGAUUCUGCAAAUCUAAGGGCCAAAUCCUCAAAUUUGGGAAAAAAGCCAGGGCCUGGAAACAAGAUGGUAAUUUAUAUAAAAAUAGGUUAAAAUAAUCUAUACUUGCAAGGGGUUGUUUCAAUGACAUUGUACAACAUAGCCAAAAGUAUUUUAUGCCAGUGCUUGCAAGGGGCCUUAUUGACUAUGGAAUGAAGGAAGAUGGUAAAAUCUGGCGAUGACCAGAAAGGAAAGGAAUGAAAGUGAAGACAAGCCAAGGCAUGUGGGAUUGUACUGCAAGAAAAGCACUGAAAUUCAUGCAUAGAAUCCAGUCUGACUUAAUGCUGAAAAUGUCAUUAAUUCACAGUGGUUUUCACGUGCAAGAUGCUCUGUGUUGUUUGAAGCUGGUCUGAUUCCUUUGGAAGACAUAGAGAUCCUUAUUGAUAGCUGGGGAAGGACAAUAAGAAACUGUAAGGACCUAUGCACUCAGUUUUGUGUCCCUUUUACACCAUCCAGCUACAACAGGCCUGCUCUAUGCUUCUGUAGUUUCUGUUGCUUCCUACUGAGCUAUUCCUGUGUCUUCUGUGAACAUUCAUGGCCACCAUCCCUUGCCUUCCAAAAAGAAGGAAAAACCUGCAAACACCCCUCUUCUAAGAGCAUAAUCCUUGAUAUUUUGGCCACUUCGAAGGGGAUAAUUUUCUGAGUAAAGUUGUCCCCUAUGUCGAUCUGUCCAUGGGGAAUAUAUGGCCCAGUUUAUGAGACAUAGUGUCACUGCCUAUUUAACUUUAUCAACCAUAACUGAGAACACCUGUUUUCUCUGAGGUAUAUUUUUUUCUAAUGUACAUCUUAGUCACUCUCAUUAUUUGCUGCUUAUUUUUUAAAUUUCAAAUUUAAUCACUGCCUAAACCAACAAAGUAUCUUUCCUCCAAGAAAAGAAUUAAAAAUAUGUUUCAUUAUCCUGUUUUUUUAAAUUAUUGUAUCAUGUUUUUGACAGCUAAAUAAAUGGAUUUUAUUAAACAGAG